rnacentral:lncRNA from 1 species
GACAUCGUCCUCCUCACUCCUCCUCCUCCUCCUCCGCCGUAACCAGCCUCCUCUCCUAUCUCCUCGAACCCGUUCAACGUGUUCGCGAACGGCGGCCUCCGCUGGUGGCUGCCGCCGAGAUCGGCAUCGGAGCGGGCGCGCGUGAGAGUGAUCAGGUGUUGGUUUGUUUUACGAGAUACGGAAAGAGGAGACCUGAGGGAAAUGGCGCAGGUUCGGGGGAUUUGGGGCACCAUUUCGGGUUCGGGCGAGGAGGACGACCCGAGACCCGAGUCUUUGGAGUGGGGGAGCCAUGAGUUUAGUAUCGGCGACGAUGAGCUUCGUAGAAGCAUAAUGAUGAUGGGCCUGAGAAACCCCGAAUCUCAGACUCCUUCU